CUCUCAUGGAGCGCUUCUACUUCCAUCUCUUCCUGGAAUUUCAUCAGCCUCCGAAACUGAGCUCUGCCUUCCCAUCACACAGGCAAAUUCCAGUAUGGGAAGGAGGAGGAGUCGUAUUUCUUUGUCCCAAGAAAUUUGGAGAAAUCACGGAAGGAACGCAUUGUGAAACAAGAUUAUGGUUUUUGGAGGUCAACUGGAAAUAUUAAAGAAAUAUACGUAGGUCGAGUCAUCUUGCAAAAGGGAACGUUGGAUUUUUGCAUUAAAAUUGCUAAAGGAGAACAUAAAAAAACACCUUGGAAGAUGCAUGAGUACAGUCUUGCUUCCAAAAGUUCAUCAAUGGAUCAAACAAGCUCUGGUAUGGGUGCUAAAACGAAGAAGGAGGGCCGCUUUACUCUGUGUAAGAUUUAUGCGCACAAACCCGAGGAGGUGGAAAACCCAAUGGGAGGAAUGCCGGUGGGAGAUGGAGAUGGUUCUAAUGUCCCUGAUUCCGGACCACCCUCGUGGAACUUCGAGGAUUUGCAAGCCUGGCUCGCUACCACUUUAGCGUAGAUGAAUAGCAUACCAUACGCAUGCAUACUGCUGCUGUUUACUAGGCACGCAUAAGCAUCGGUCCAAACAUCCAAACCGUACGAUUUGUUGGUCCUUCCUUGGAAUAGGGCUUACCCUAGAAACCAGAUUGAACGGAUGAUCCUAUUUGCCUGCCUAUUGAGCGGCUGUGAAUUAAUCAGAUGGAGGAAUAGAGAUAAGGUGGAUAAUCAAGUUCAGGUAAUAAACUCCAAUUCAUCAGACGGUUAGGAUUAUCAGAUCAAUGUGAUUUUGGACGAUGUGAUAUUGACUGUAGGGCUGAUGAUAUUGCAAGUCACGUGCAUGGUGGGCGUGUGCAUGCGUACGGGUUAUAUGAUAGUUUAGCCAUCUGAUUCGUUUUUGUGAUUGUGAUACUUUAUGGGGUUGAAUGUGGACAAUGAAAUAUUAGUUUGAUAAAUGGAUAAUAAUUGAUUUUUUUUUUUUAAA